AGACAAACAAGAACCAUUUGAUCUUCUUGCUUACAAGCCCACCCGAAACCCUAUCAUCUUCUUCUAGAGCUCCGGAUCUGCAACUGGCAAUCAAUUAGUGCGACGCGGAGGCAACUGGCGGCAACGAUCGGCGUCUUCGCCGCCGACGCCACCCUGAAUGCGGUUGGCAUCCACCUCUCCUACGCCAACGUCGCUUCUCAGCAAACCCGCGCCAAAGCUCGCAGCGACUUCGUCAAGUCUCGCCUCCGGAAGCUCCUCGACGAUUGACCCUCUUGACCCGCUGCCCCCGGCCCCAACCACAAGUGACGAUUUCUUUCUUCCGGUGAGCAUCGCCAUCUUUCAAUUAAUCCCCGACGAGCUUUGAAUCUGCGGUGUUCCUGCUUCUUCAACGGCAUGGUGCUUGGUCCUCGAGCGAUGGGGAGGUGGCUAAGAUUCAGGGAUUCGAUUUCGCGGAAUGGUUGAAAAGCACGGUUACAUAGAAGGAUUUCGUGGUGAUGAAGAUGGAUGUGGAGGGGACUGAGUUCGAUUUGAUUCCGAGGCUAUUCGAGACUGGGGCUAUCUGUUUGAUCGAUGAACUGUUUCUCGAGUGCCAUUACAACAGAUGGCAGAGAUGUUGUCCCGGUGAGAGAAGUUCCAAGUACGAGAAAACAUAUGGGCAAUGCUUGGACCUUUUCACAUCCGUGAGACAGAGUGAAGUUCUUGUUCAUCAUUGGUGGUAGUAACUCUUGCAAAUGAGCAACAUUAUUGCCAAUGCUCACCACGUAUGUUUUCUUUGAUGCUGUGAUUCUCCUCUUAUAGUGGCAUUUAUUGUAUUGCUUCAGUUUAGGCUUUUGUCCUGGAUUACUCAAUGUAUGAAGUGCUGUAGUGAAAUAGCUCGAAUGAAAUCCAACGAAUGCAUGGUUUCUCUUGCAAUCGAAUUGAAUGUGUACUCGUUCUGCUCA